AACACGUGGGCAACCUGCCUAUAAGACUGGGAUAACUUCGGGAAACCGGAGCUAAUACCGGAUACGUUCUUUUCUCGCAUGAGAGAAGAUGGAAAGACGGUUUACGCUGUCACUUAUAGAUGGGCCCGCGGCGCAUUAGCUAGUUGGUGAGGUAAUGGCUCACCAAGGCGACGAUGCGUAGCCGACCUGAGAGGGUGAUCGGCCACACUGGGACUGAGACACGGCCCAGACUCCUACGGGAGGCAGCAGUAGGGAAUCUUCCGCAAUGGACGAAAGUCUGACGGAGCAACGCCGCGUGAACGAAGAAGGCCUUCGGGUCGUAAAGUUCUGUUGUUAGGGAAGAACAAGUACCAGAGUAACUGCUGGUACCUUGACGGUACCUAACCAGAAAGCCACGGCUAACUACGUGCCAGCAGCCGCGGUAAUACGUAGGUGGCAAGCGUUGUCCGGAAUUAUUGGGCGUAAAGCGCGCGCAGGUGGUUCCUUAAGUCUGAUGUGAAAGCCCACGGCUCAACCGUGGAGGGUCAUUGGAAACUGGGGAACUUGAGUGCAGAAGAGGAAAGUGGAAUUCCAAGUGUAGCGGUGAAAUGCGUAGAGAUUUGGAGGAACACCAGUGGCGAAGGCGACUUUCUGGUCUGUAACUGACACUGAGGCGCGAAAGCGUGCGGAGCAAACAGGAUUAGAUACCCUGGUAGUCCACGCCGUAAACGAUGAGUGCUAAGUGUUAG
rnacentral:rRNA from 1 species